rnacentral:rRNA from 1 species
GUGGAUUAGAUACCCUGGUAGUCCACGCCCUAAACGAUGAUAACUCGAUGUUAGCGAUAUACUGUUAGCGUCCAAGCGAAAGCGUUAAGUUAUCCACCUGGGGAGUACGCCCGCAAGGGUGAAACUCAAAGGAAUUGACGGGGGCCCGCACAAGCGGAGGAGCAUGUGGUUUAAUUCGAUGAUACGCGAGGAACCUUACCCGGGCUUGAAAGUUACUGAAGUAUCCAGAGAUGGAUGCGUCCUUCGGGACAGGAAACUAGGUGCUGCACGGCUGUCGUCAACU